AUUGAACGCUGGCGGCAGGCCUAACACAUGCAAGUCGAACGGUAACAGGAAGAAGCUUGCUUCUUUGCUGACGAGGGGCGGACGGGUGAGUAAUGUCUGGGAAACUGCCUGAUGGAGGGGGAUAACUACUGGAAACGGUAGCUAAUACCGCAUAACGUCGCAAGACCAAAGAGGGGGACCUUCGGGCCUCUUGCCAUCGGAUGUGCCCAGAUGGGAUUAGUUAGUAGGUGGGGUAACGGCUCACCUAGGCGACGAUCCCUAGCUGGUCUGAGAGGAUGACCAGCCACACUGGAACUGAGACACGGUCCAGACUCCUACGGGAGGCAGCAGUGGGGAAUAUUGCACAAUGGGCGCAAGCCUGAUGCAGCCAUGCCGCGUGUAUGAAGAAGGCCUUCGGGUUGUAAAGUACUUUCAGCGGGGAGGAAGGGAGUAAAGUUAAUACCUUUGCUCAUUGACGUUACCCGCAGAAGAAGCACCGGCUAACUACGUG
rnacentral:rRNA from 1 species